rnacentral:siRNA from 1 species
CAGAACUGGUGCAGAUGCUUCUG